rnacentral:rRNA from 1 species
GUGAGGAAUAUUGGUCAAUGGGCGGAAGCCUGAACCAGCCAUCCCGCGUGGAGGAAGACGGCCCUAUGGGUUGUAAACUUCUUUUCAAGGGGAAGAAAGUUCGCGACGUGUCGCGAUUUGCCGGUACCUUUGGAAUAAGCAUCGGCUAACUCCGUGCCAGCAGCCGCGGUAAUACGGAGGAUGCGAGCGUUAUCCGGAUUUAUUGGGUUUAAAGGGUGCGUAGGCCGAUCGAUAAGUCAGCGGUGAAAUACCAUGGCCCAACCAUGGAACUGCCGUUGAUACUGUCGGUCUUGAAUAUGGUCAAGGUAGGCGGAAUGUGUAAUGUAGCUGUGAAAUGCUUAGAUAUUACACAGAACACCGAUUGCGAAGGCAGCUUACUGGUCCAUUAUUGACGCUGAGGCACGAAAGCGUGGGGAUCGAACAGGAUUAGAAACCCUAGUAGUCC